AUUGUUUGAAUUUGUAUACGUUUGCCUUUCUUGUGGGACAAGUUCUGUGUUGUAACAGUUUUUAGCUUUUUUGAAUAAAAUACAAUUUUAUGAUUCAAAUUCUUUAUCUGAACUUCUUACAUAGUGCACUCCCAGGGUGGUCUCACAGAAACGUGCUUGUAGUGAAUUUUGUUUUCCCUAAUCCCUUGCCGGAGCCAAUUUCGAAAGCUAUGUAUGCCCUCGCCUUGCAAUUCGAUCCCGCCUAGAAGAAAUUUUUUGUCGUUCUUCACUAUCGGCUGCAACGAAGAGCUGUAAAUUCUUCCAUAAGCAACAGAUAGUGGAAUACAUCAUCACUUUUGCCCAGACUGAAAGCCAACUACUGGCGAUGAAAAUCUCUUUCAAGGCAUGCUGAGCGAAUCAUUAAAGGCUGAAACAGCGACUUUAGGCAGCAAGGUUAGGUUCCACAUUUUGAAAUUCCUGAAAAGUGGAGAAACAAGUAUUAUGCUUCUGUUGAAAAUUAUAAUUGAACAUAAAUGUCUCUGAUUUAAAUUUUUAAAGAUAUUAAGUUCCGAUGUUUUUUAA